rnacentral:misc_RNA from 1 species
GAUGAAGAACGUAGCGAAAUGCGAUAAGUAAUGUGAAUUGCAGAAUUCAGUGAAUCAUCGAAUCUUUGAACGCACCUUGCACUCCUUGGUAUUCCGAGGAGUACGCCUGUUCGAGUGUUAUGAAGCUCUCAAAACGCAAUUGGCUUAAAACCUGAUUGUUGUUUUGGAUUUGAACUUUGCCGUGUUAUAACGGCUGGUUUUAAAAGUAUUAGCUGGUACUAGAACGAAUUGGUUCUACUCAACGUGAUAAUUAUCUGAUCAUUGAGGACAUUCCUUUCACGAGGAAUGGCCAUAGUAAAUUCAAUGGACUGCUUCUAAUCUGGCUUUAAUUCUUUAUUGGAUUAACCACUUUUCAAAUCUGACCUCGAAUCAGGUGGGACUACCCGCUGAACUUAAGCAUAUCAAUAAGCGGAGGA